UUGACCUCGGAUCAGGUAGGAAGACCCGCUGAACUUAAGCAUAUCAAUAAGCGGAGGAAAAGAAACCAACAGGGAUUGCCCUAGUAACGGCGAGUGAAGCGGCAACAGCUCAAAUUUGAAAUCUGGCUUCGGCCCGAGUUGUAAUUUGCAGAGGAAGCUUUAGGCGCGGCACCUUCUGAGUCCCCUGGAACGGGGCGCCAUAGAGGGUGAGAGCCCCGUAUAGUUGGAUGCCUAGCCUGUGUAAAGCUCCUUCGACGAGUCGAGUAGUUUGGGAAUGCUGCUCAAAAUGGGAGGUAAAUUUCUUCUAAAGCUAAAUACCGGCCAGAGACCGAUAGCGCACAAGUAGAGUGAUCGAAAGAUGAAAAGCACUUUGAAAAGAGGGUUAAAUAGCACGUGAAAUUGUUGAAAGGGAAGCGCUUGUGACCAGACUUGCGCCGGGCGGAUCAUCCGGUGUUCUCACCGGUGCACUCCGCCCGGCUCAGGCCAGCAUCGGUUCUCGCGGGGGGAUAAAGGUCCUGGGAACGUAGCUCCUCCGGGAGUGUUAUAGCCCGGGGCGUAAUGCCCUCGCGGGGACCGA
rnacentral:rRNA from 1 species